rnacentral:rRNA from 1 species
GCGGCGCAUUAGCUAGUUGGUGGGGUAAUGGCUCACCAAGGCGACGAUGCGUAGCCGACCUGAGAGGGUGAUCGGCCACACUGGGACUGAGACACGGCCCAGACUCCUACGGGAGGCAGCAGUAGGGAAUCUUCCGCAAUGGACGAAAGUCUGACGGAGCAACGCCGCGUGAGUGAUGAAGGUUUUCGGAUCGUAAAGCUCUGUUGUUAGGGAAGAACAAGUGCGAGAGUAACUGCUCGCACCUUGACGGUACCUAACCAGAAAGCCACGGCUAACUACGUGCCAGCAGCCGCGGUAAUACGUAGGUGGCAAGCGUUGUCCGGAAUUAUUGGGCGUAAAGGGCUCGCAGGCGGUUUCUUAAGUCUGAUGUGAAAGCCCCCGGCUCAACCGGGGAGGGUCAUUGGAAACUGGGAAACUUGAGUGCAGAAGAGGAGAGUGGAAUUCCACGUGUAGCGGUGAAAUGCGUAGAGAUGUGGAGGAACACCAGUGGCGAAGGCGACUCUCUGGUCUGUAACUGACGCUGAGGAGCGAAAGCGUGGGG